CUGCAGGUCCUUUGGCGGUGUAUUUUUCUAAUUCCUUUCCGUUGAGCAAACGGCAGCAUCGUGAGUGUAGAGUCUAUAAAAACACAGCUUGCUGCUCCAACUUCAAGGUAACCUGUUGGUAGUAGCCUUUGUGAGCUACUUUGGUGCUAAGCUCCAUCGUCCCAGGAUGAUUGGAAUUGGCUGUGUGAUCAUGGCGGUUUCCUCAUAGGCCUGCCUCACUUCUUCCAGGGACUAAUGACAUUCUUGGGGUUGAUUACUGGACUCUACUUCC